UAGCUUACGUGGAGGCGCUGGUGGGAUACUACCCUAGCUGUGUUGGCUUUCUAACCCGCACCACUUAUCGUGGUGGGAGACAGUGUCAGGCGGGCAGUUUGACUGGGGCGGUCGCCCCCUAAAAGGGAACGGAGGGGCGCAAAGGGUUCCUCAGAAUGGGUGGGAAUCAUUCAUAGAGGGGAAAGGCAUAAGGGAGCUUGACUGCGAGACCUACAAAUCGAGCAGGGUCGAAAGACGGACGUAGUGAUCCGGUGGUUCCGCAUGGAAGGGCCAUCGCUCAACGGAUAAAAGCUACCCCGGGGAUAA
rnacentral:rRNA from 1 species